rnacentral:rRNA from 1 species
GAUGAACGCUGGCGGCGUGCCGAAUACAUGCAAGUCGAGCGAACAGACGAGGAGCUUGCUCCUCUGACGUUAGCGGCGGACGGGUGAGUAACACGUGGAUAACCUACCUAUAAGACUGGGAUAACUUCGGGAAACCGGAGCUAAUACCGGAUAAUAUAUUGAACCGCAUGGUUCAAUAGUGAAAGACGGUUUUGCUGUCACUUAUAGAUGGAUCCGCGCCGCAUUAGCUAGUUGGUAAGGUAACGGCUUACCAAGGCGACGAUGCGUAGCCGACCUGAGAGGGUGAUCGGCCACACUGGAACUGAGACACGGUCCAGACUCCUACGGGAGGCAGCAGUAGGGAAUCUUCCGCAAUGGGCGAAAGCCUGACGGAGCAACGCCGCGUGAGUGAUGAAGGUCUUCGGAUCGUAAAACUCUGUUAUUAGGGAAGAACAAAUGUGUAAGUAACUAUGCACGUCUUGACGGUACCUAAUCAGAAAGCCACGGCUAACUACGUG